rnacentral:lncRNA from 1 species
GCCCCACCCCUUCCUCUUUCUUCUUCAAUAACAUCUCUCCUUCUCUCCUUUCACCUCUAUUUUUUAACAACACCAUGUCAUUGCAACACCACUAAAAUACACCUAAGGCUUACGAUUAGCAUCAUUUCAAUUUUUAAAUUAUUACAAUUAGUAUCACAAAAAGAGGGCAUCAGUGAUGCGAAUCCAACCUAAAAAGAAUCGCACAAAAAUUCCCCUCACAGCUCUCAGAAAAUUGGACAAAAAAAAUUAUGCAUAAAGCUCGUCACACUGCCACAACAAAUUCGAAGAUAACAAGCACUGCCGCAACAAAUUUGAAGACAAUAAGCACCGCCGCAACAAAUUCGAAGACAACAACCCCACAAAUUCGAUCUUCUUGUGAGUAAAUUUGUCAUGAUUUAAAUGAAUACAUUUGUAGAAAAGCUCAAGGCGCCUAGAACAUUUUGUUUGUGGCUCAAAGCAAAAUCAGCAACACCAUUGUAAAAAACACAAAACUCUAAUGACCCAAAAUUUUUCAGUAAAUUUUAAAAUUAUCAAUGUUAUUCAAAUUUUGGGAAGGUAAAGAGUGAAUUGAAUGCAAGAGCCAUAAUUAAGGAGUGAAUUGAUUAGGAAAAUGGAGGAGUAGGUGUUAGAUGGUGGACUGAUGGUGGUGGUGGUGAAAAUGAAGGAAAAACGAAGGGGUGGGAAUAGGUUAGGUGGGUGGGUGUAAGGAAGAAGGGUUAUUUAUUUAUUUAAUUCUUUUUUUUUUAAUUUAGAAUCUUUUUUAAAAAAUAUUUUAAAGUAAAAAAAAUAGAUUUCACUCGCCGGAAAACACGUUUUUCCAAAUCAUCAAUUUAAUGUCCCAUAUGCAAAAAAGGGUUUAAAAUAUUCAUUUUAAUAGGUUAAAGGGUACAGAUGACAAAAGUAAAAGUAGAAGUGUCUUCUUUACAAAUAAGGACUAGUACAAGUGUCCACGAAACCAUUUCGCCUUAAGUUUUCUUUUGGACAAGUCAUUUAAUUCUUAAAAUACUACAUAAAUCGAAAUUAAUUCAACUUGGUUAUUUUUUACAAUUAAACUAUUACUUGGAGGUUCGAAACUCUUUAACGGCAUUUAUUUUAUAGCAAAGCCAAGAAUUUAUUAAAAAAGGUUGUGUUUGUGAUGUUCGAACUCGAGAGCUAUACUGAAAUUUGCCCAAACACCUAGCCAAGGAAGCUUAUUUGUUCAAGUAAUGCUAGUUAUAUUAUUUAGAAUCCGUUUGAAUAGAAUUAAAAAAAAAUAGCUUUUUAGCUUUUGUGCUUAAAAGCUGAAAAUAAAUGUUUAUAAAUUACGCAAAUAAGUGAUAGGAUAGGAGCAGUGAAACUGAAAAAUUAUUGAUAUGUUUGAUAAAUAAGUGUUGUUAAUCAUUUUUUUUAUUGUCAAAAUGACUUAAAUAUUCUUAAUAUUAAUACCAUAAAUAAUUUAAAUUAUAUAAAAAAUUUAAUUCUAAUAAUUCAAUAACAAAGGAGAAAGCUGAAGAGGAAACUGGAAGAAAGAGACGGGGUGAAGCAACAAAGAGAAAAAGAAAGAAAAACAAUAUAUUUAAGAGCUAAAAAUUAGGUAUUGUUGAAAUUGGAGGAAAAUAUAAGGGAUAAAAAAGUAAAUGUCUUGAUCAAACUUUAAAAAAAAAAGUUAAUCUAAAAAGUAAAAAAUUGGGUGUAUCCAGCUUCUCACCUUUUGCUUUUUUUUUUUUUUGAAAAAAAAAAUUAUUUUUAGCCUUUUUAAAGUACUUUUUUAUUUUACCAAACACCUAAAAAAACUUUAAAAAGAGAUUAAAAAUCGAUUUGAUCAGAUUUUAGUCAUAUCCAAACGGGCUCUUAAAUCAUGUUCUAUUUUUUCAAAUAUUUACAUACGUAUUAAAACAAAUUUCAACGAAGCGGUAUCAAAUAAUAUCCCACCCUGAAUCUCUCAAACCAGGAAAUUACAUGGUAUAGCUCCAAUAGUGGGUGACUUUGGAUUUUUUAUCCUAAUAAGAAAAGUCUUUAAAGACUAGUCUUCCUUCAUUUUUAAGUAUCGUACAAGUACAAUUUUACCCCUCUACACCUCAAAUAUUUUUAAACUUCUCAUGCUCAUUUGUCUCUCAAAUUCUAUUUUUAUUUUUUUUAUUUUCACUUUUUAUUUUUUCUUUAAUUUUAUGUUUUAAUUCAUUUGUCUCAAUCUUUAUUUUUUUCUCUUUUUACUUUUUCCUUUUUUCUCAAACAUUAUCUAUUUCUUUAUGUUUUUAAUGCAUUUGUCUCAACCUUUAUUUUUCUUUUAUUUUUGGUUUUAUUAUUUCUCUUUUUCCCUCAUUUUUUCUCAAACUUUUUGUUUUUAAUUUUUUUCCUCUCAUUUUUGUUUUAUCAAUUUUUUUAAUUCUUCGCUUUUUCUUAAUCUUUAUAUUUUUGUUGUCUUUUUUUUAAUCAAUCUAUUUUUUUAUUUCUCUAUUUUAUUUGAUCUCGUUUUUUUCCUUAAAUUCUAUUAUAUUUUGCUAAGAAAUAAAAAAAAAUGGAUAAUCCGCAAAGAGAUCUUCUUUUUUAACAUCAAAGCAAAUUUAAGGGCAUGAAUUUUUGUUAGGGAGUUUUUUGGGAUAAGUUUUGCCUCCAAGGAAAAAUUAUAGAACAACUCAUAAAUCAAGGCACAAUGUGGUAGUGUCAAGUCUUGCUUGUGGAGCAUAACUUGUUUGAAAAUUCUUGAGUUAAGUCUUGCUUCUAAGGUAAGAGUUAUAGAACAUCUCAUAAAUAAAAAAAAUAUGGUAGUGUCAACAUUUGUCCAUUGGGCAUAACUUGUUCUUUGGGGAGGUUCUUGGACUAAGUUUUAUCUUGGAGGAAAGACUAAUAGAGCAUCACAUAAAUCAAGACACAAUAUGACAGUGUCAACUCUUGUCCAUGGGGCAUAACUUGUCGGCUAAGUCUUGCCUCUAAGGCAAGAGUUAUAGAAUAUCUCAUAAAUCAAGACAUGUUGUGGUAGUUUCAACUCUUAUCCAUGGGGCAUAACUUGUUGUUUGAAAGUCCUUGGACUAAUUCGAGCCUCUACGGCAAGAGUUAUAGAACAUCUCACAAAUCAAGAUAUAAUAUGGUACUGCCAACUCUUACCCAUGGGGCAUAACUUGUUGUUUAAAAGUCCUUGAUUUAUAAAAUAUCUCAUAAAUCAAGACACAAUGUGGUAGCAUUAAAUCUUAUUUGUGGAGCGUAACGUGUUGUUUAAAAGUCCUUGGGCUAAGUCUUGCCUCUAAAGCAAGAGUUAUAGAACAUCUCAUAAAUCAAAACAUAAUGUGAUAGUGUCAACUCUUACCCACGGGGCAUAACUUGUUAUUUGAAAGUCCUUGGGUUAAGUCUUGCCUUUAAGGCAAGAGUUAUAGAAUAUCUUAUAAAUCAAAAUACAAUAUCGUAAUAUUAACUCGUGCCCAUGAGGCACAAUUUGUUACUUGAAAGUCCUUGGUCUAUGUCUUUCCUUUAAGGGAAGAGUUAUAAAACAUAUCAUAAAUCAAUACACAAUGUGGUGGUAUGAACUCUUAACUAUGGGGAAUAACUUGUUGUUUUAUGGUCCUUAGGUUGAGUCUUACCUCUAAGACAAAAGUUAUAGAGUAUUUCAUAAGUAAAAAUCAUAAUGUUUUAGUGUUGACUCUUGCCCAUUACACAUAACUUGUUUGAAAUUUUUUGGGAUAAGUCGUGCCUCUACGGCGAGAGUUGUAGAACAUCUCAUCAAUAAAUACAUAACGUGGUGGUGUCAACUCUUACCCGUGGGACAUAAUUUAUUGUUUGAAAGUCCUAGAGCUAAGUCUUGCCUCUAAGGCAAGAAAUGUAGAACAUCUCAUAAAUGAAGACAUAACGUGGUAGUGUCAACUCUUUACCGUGAGGCAUAAUUUAUAGUUUGAAAGUCAUUGGGCUAAGUAAAGAAAGAUUUAUAGAACAUCUUAUAAAUGAAGACAUAAAUGGUAGUGUCACCUCUUUCCCGUGGAACAUAAUUUGUAGUUUGAAAGUCUUUGUCUUGCCUCUAAGACAAUAGUUGUAGAACAUCUUAUAAAUGAAAACAUAACGUGGUAGUGUCAACUCUUGCCUAUGUGACAUAAUUUGUUGUUUGAGAGUCCUUGAGCUAAGUCUUGCCUCUAAGGUAAGAGUUAUAGAACAUCUCAUAAAUCAAAAUACAACGUGGUAGUGUCAACUCUUGUCCAUGAAACAUAACUUGUUGUUUGAAAGUCAUAAGUCUUGCCUCUACAAUGUGGUAGUGUAAACUCUUGCCCAUGAAACGUCUCAUGAGAUGUAACUUGAUUGGAAGAAAUCGAAGAAAAGAACAAAAAUAAUAAAAAUUACAAAAUGAAGAAAAAUACUAAAAAAAAUAAAAAUCAAAGAAAAUGUAGAAGUUAAGAGAGAAUGAAAAAAAGGUUCAUAAAAAUAAAAAAAAGAUUAAAAUAGAAAUAAAGGCCGAAAAAAAUUUAAAAAAAAUCAAAGAAUAAUAAAAAAAGAUUUUUUUUAAUAAAAGUAGACAUUGAGAGGAGUAAAAGAAAAAAAAGUAAGGGUUGAGAAAUAUUAAAAAUUAAAAGAGAAAAGAAAAAAUAAAAAUUAAAGUAAAAUUAAAAAGAGAAAAAAAUAAAAAUUGGUAGAUGAAUAUGUGUGGAGUUGUUAUCCAUUAUGAGGAUAUUUAUGUAAUUUACUCUAUUGGUCAGGGGCAAUUUUGUCUGAAAAUAUAUCACUUAAUGGAUGAAGGCUAUUUUUAUGAAACUUUUUUAUUUGGGUCAAAAUUUGAAAGUCACGUUAUUUUGGGGCUAUUCCUUUAGUUUUCCUAAAAAAAUCUGUACAAAAACUUGAUUUGGGCUUAUAAACCCAAAUUGGGUACAACCCAACCUAAGUCAAAACAAAAAAAAAUUUCCAAGGCAAAAAAUAUCCCCAAGACUAUUCUAGAAACCCUACCCCGAUAGAAACAAAAAAUGAAAACAAAAAAGGAAAGUGAAAUAUUGGAUCAAAAUUGGAGCGACCUUCUUCAUCAGAGCCCUCAUCUAUGUCGAUAUGGUUUCCAAAUCAAAUGCAGCAACUGAUUUGUAACGACCUAAAAAUUUGAUGAAAUAUGUAAAAAUUUAUGAUUUGUGUGAAUUGACUAUUUUACCCCUCUCUGUAUUUGUAUUAUGGUAUUUCUAGGGUAUGGGGAUGAUUGGCAUAAUUUUCGAUGCAUUUUGGUACUAUUUAUGUGAUAUUGUGGUUUUUGAUGGUUUCGAGAGCCUUAUUUUGGACUUAUAUGGAUAUCUUUUGAUCUGUGCAACGGAUAACUAAACGGACUGCACCGGUAGCUCCAGAAUAUCAAUUUUAGGCUAGGUAGACCUUUGGUUUGGGUCCCGGUGUAUCCGAGCUCAUUUAAACCUAUUGGUCGGAAAGUUGGAAAAUUAGAAAUAUGAGUGUGGGAUCCACAUUUGGUUGAAACGAUCUCGGAUGGAAAAUUCGACUUAGCCAGCAGAUCCGAAAUGUUUAUUUAUGAUGGUAACAUAUUUGGUGUGAUUUUACGGCUUUUAAAUCUCAUUUCGAUCCUCGAUUUGGAAAAUUAUGAUUUCGAGUUUCGAGGAUCAAAUUUGUGAAAAUAAUAUUUUUUUUUUAAAUCUAACUUCGCCAACACGUCCGGAACGUCUAAUUUAGUAUGGUUGCAUAGUUUGUUUGUGUAUAUCAAACUCCGAAUAAAUUUUGGGCACCCCGUCCAAGCCCGAAUCGACUUUAAAAAAAUCAGCUUUUUAGCAAAAGCCGUGUAGAAAAAUCUGAAAUAAUGAAUAGCAGUUUUUGGCUUAUUUUGCUCAUUUUUCAUCUUGCCUCUUGAGGGUUAAAUCCUAAAAUAGUACAGAAACUUAAAAGUGAAGCUUGUGGGAGCUUGAUUAUCUAGAUUAACAUCUAUUUCUUGAUUUUAUUACAGAUUUAAGCUAAGAAUUCACCAUUUUCUUAAUAAUUCUUGAUUAAUCUCUCAAAACCUCAAAAAUCUUAGGGCUUGAUUUUAAUCCCAAAUUUCACUCCUUUUCACUUGAAUAAUAUUUUUAUCUUGUAUUUACUAGUUUUUCAUUAAUUUAACAUUCAAAACAACUAUGAUUCUUGAUUUUAAUCUAAAUUUCAAAGACUUUAUCCGGAAAAGCUUAAAAAUGGUUUUUCUUCGAUUUGAACCCCAAUUUUUACUCGAUUUGACUUGAUUUUUCAGCCAUAGAUUCCUAAAAUAUAGGGAACACAUUUUUGAAGUAAAGUUAUAUUUUUUCCUUUCUUUUUUGAAAACUCGUUUUGGGGGUCCAUUUUGAUCCCGAAUCAAAACUAGUUAAUAUAUGUGUCGUUGAUUUUAUUUUAAUGCAUAGAUUCCAUAUUUGAUAUUUUUAGUGGAGUUUGGGAUCAUUCAUGAAAAGUAAGGUCACGGGUUCAAAGUAUAGCAGACUAAUUUUGACUUUCGAGGUAGGUUAUGAGUUAACUCUUUCAGGCUGGGAUGGGUAGUAUAUAAUGGUACAAAAUUCAUGAUAAGGGUGGUAAAUAAUCAUAAAAAAUAUCUAUUUAUGCGUUAUGCCUGUGUGGGGGCGUAUAUGUGAUGUAAUUGUCAAAAUUGAGAUAGUAUGUGAUAUGUGUGACGGUAUGGGAUUCUAUGUGAUAUUGAUAGCCUUGAAUACAUGCGAAUAAUUGUAUUAUGUUGUUAAAAUGCUUAAUAUGGUACCAUUGGUGUAUUGUGAUUAUAUUCAUACUUUAUUGGCAUAUAAGACAUGUGAAAAUUCAUGGAUGAAACAAAAAUAAUAAGUGUAUAUUGGCUCACGUGGUUGUGAAAAUGUAUCAUUGUGGUUGGUUGUGGAAAUAUAUCAUGUGGUUGGUUGUGGAAAUAUAUCAUGUGGUUAGCUGUGGAAAUACUCACUGUGAUUGGUUGUGAGCAUUACAUCUUUAUAUCAUACUCAUUCAUGAAAUAUUGAUACCACCGUGGCAACAUAUAAGAAACACUAGCAACUCCUGAUAACACCUUUUCGAGGGAUGUUUCGAAAAGAAGAUAUGAUAGAUGUAGAUUGUAUACGGGUUGACAAACCCCCCAUAGGUCCUGCUUUGGGAGGCUUUCCUCUGUAGGUGUAUACGAGUAUUGUGCGACGAUUUCAGAGGUUGUGUGAUGAUCUCGUGCAUCAUCAUCAUCAUCAUCAUAUAUAUUGCACUUACUUUAUUGUAUUUAUAUUGUAUUGUAUUCCCAUAUUGAUUAGCCAUUUAUGUAAUUGUCUUAUCUUCUUUUACUUGUAUUUGACGAUCUUGUAUAUGUAUGUUCCCUCUUGUUCUACUUAUAUUUGAUAUAAUGCAUACUUAUGCUGUAUCAUUUUGUGAUGUUGCAACAUAUGUGAUAUAUUAUUAAUGUUAGUGCAAGCAGUGUGAGCUAUCAUUGUGGGAUAUUUUCUGAUUGCAGGUGACAUGCCCUUAGUGUAUAUUUUGUAUGCUUUAUUUACUACUUUGUUUGGUCGGCCUGUGAUACCUACUAUGUACAAGUGGACCGUACUCAUGCCUACUGCGCCCUUUCGGUGCAGGUCCUAGCUCAAGUGCGCCCCAGCUUGCUUGACUCGAGAGAUUGUUGGAGCUUCCAAGGUAGCGGUUAAACAUUCAUACAUCCAAAAUUUACCUUUAUCUUUCUAUAGUAGUUAUGUCUAUAUUAGUAUUUCGAGAUAGAUAUUAUUCCUUUGUGGUUAUUUUUAUGAUAUAUUUGACUCUUUGAUUGUAUUAGUAGUUCUUACACUAUUUGAUACCGGAUUUUGGACAUGAUUGGUAUUUUGGAUAAGUUCUUUUCGCAUUGUUAUGAUUACUUGUAUGAUUUAACUUUGUUUUAGAAGCCUUACCUUGGGUAUUUUUGUCUUUUCUUUUUCCUUUUGGUAUCAGUUUGGGUGAUGGGCUUACUUGUCAAGGUACGCCACGACAAGUGUCAUCAUGACCCUUGUUUUGGGGUCGUGACAUGAUUGAAGAGUUUAUCAGGCUAUUGUAGUUGACAAUCGAUUUAGGAAGAUGAGUUUUGGUGCAUUUCACUGUAGAUAUUUCAAAUUCUCACAAAUAUCAUGAAAUCGAUCCAAUUGAAGACUUCUUCAACUCACUUAAAAAUUGAUUUCAGCUUCUAUAACCAUAUAAGUGUCUUUCUUGUUUAAUCAAUGCCUUAUUUAGAGACAAAUAUCAAUUCCUCAUCCCUUUUAUCCUUUUGAUAGACUAAGCUUGCAUCGUAGCUGAUACCACUAUCUAAAUGAGUAAAAUCGUAUGAAUCUUUGAUAUUUAACUCCUAUAAGUUCUGAAACUUGAAAUAUCUUGAGUUGUUGAAAUACUUGUUGUAUAUUGUUGUUUUCUCCUUGCAUGUAUAUUGUGGUUUCCUCCUUGCAUGUACAAUUGUUGAAAUGCUUUAUGUUGUUGUCAUUUUACUGUGAGAAUUGUGAUGGUUAAACCACACCACUAUUUUUGUGCUUGUAUUCUCCUGAGAUUGUUUCAACAAAACCUUAAUUGGGAUUCAGUGUGUGUCUUUAUAAAUUUCUGAUUAUGUUCCUCCUUAUUUUUUAUAGAUUCGUCAACCAUGAAAUCUUCAUUUUACAUCAUCUUCAGUCUCAAAUUGGGGAUUUGAGAUUUAUCCAAAUUUAAUAUAGCCUUAGCUUCAUUUGGUAACUGUCUAAAAUAAAAUUUUUUUAUAACAUCUGUACCUGCAAAAGAGAAAACAUAGUAUCUAAUCAAUUUUAAUAGUUCACCUCUAUUAAGUUAGCUAAAUAUUAUUUUUAGACACUUUUUAUCAAUGAAUAUACUGAACUUUUGUCCUUCAUUAAAUGCACAUGCAAAGCAGUACACUUGACGUGUGUGUGUGCACGCGCGUGUCUAUAUAUUUUACACGGGUAAUUCUUUUCUUAGGAUUUCCUAUUCUUUGUGAAUAUUUAGGUAAAUUUUGAUUGAAGAAAUUAUAAAAAUACUUGUUAAAAAUAAAAAUUGAUAAAUUCAAAGUCGAAAAGUGUUCUUAUUAUUGGAUUAUUAAUUUAGCGUGUUUAUAAAUUGAAAAUUAAUAAACUAAAUCGGUAAUAUAUAAAGGGACACCCCUAAUUUUUUUUUUUUAUAAAAGUCUUGUAUUCGUAAUUCAAAAUAAAAAAAAGUUCCUGUAAGACAAAACUAUUUGUAGUUCAAAUAGAAAAAAAGUAAUACUAAUAAAUAAAGACUAUCAAAUCAAAUGGAGCUAAAAAAUCCUUUUUCUUAAAACCAAAUAUUUGUCCUAAUCAAUAUAUUUUCAUGAAGAAUUAGUCUUUUAGAUCUUCUUCACUAUUUUUGUCGACAUAAUAGAAUUCAACGUGUGCGUAUAUAUAUCUUCUUUGUUUUAAUUUAAAAUCAUUCUUUAGGAUCAAAAUUUCCGCUCAAACAAAACUUAGUUGGAUCAAAAUUGAAGCUUUGUGAUCACUAUAAUAUUAUUUUUUUAUAGUUUACAAGUCAUAGAUGAAUGUCGGUUAGCUUUGAAGAAUUUCUUGUGUAAAGGUUAGAUUUAAUUAUAUUAUUUUGACAUCUUUAUUAUCUUAUUGUUUUAUUUAAUUUAGAGAUGCUAGAUGAAUGAGGGUCGACUGUGAAAUUUUUCUUUAGGUAAAAGUAAGGUUUAAUUAUAUUAUCGUAAUAUCUAUAUUAGUUUGAUAUUUUGUGGUAGUUUACAGUUUGUAGAUGAAUCUUGAUCGGCUUUGAGAAUUUUUUGUGUGUAGAAUUUAAGUUUAAUAGUAUUGUGUUGAUAUGACUUUUAGCAUAUUAUUUUGUUGCAGUUUGCAGGUGAUAGAUAAAUGUUGGUCGAUUUUGAAGAAUUUUUUUAUGUAAAGGUUAAGUUUAGUUAUAUUAUUUUGAUAUCUCCAUUAUCGUAUUAUUUUGUUAUUGUUUAGAGGGGAU